rnacentral:rRNA from 1 species
GGGUAGGGCUUCACACGUCAUACAAUGGUCGGUACAGAGGGUUGCCAAGCCGCGAGGUGGAGCCAAUCCCAGAAAGCCGAUCGUAGUCCGGAUUGUUUCUCUGCAACUCGAGAGCAUGAAGUCGGAAUCGCUAGUAAUCGCGGAUCAGCAUGUCGCGGUGAAUACCGGUUCCCGGGUCUU